rnacentral:misc_RNA from 1 species
GUUUGUUUGAUGAAACUUCAUGGAUCGAUUGAAUUGAUUGUUUUACACAUAUGCAACUGUCGAUGUGUUUGAUUAAGAUGUAAAAUUUGCUUUGAAGCAGUUACUGAUUUGGGUAUGAAAAAUGAAGCUUAAUGGAAUAAACGAUUGUAUAUAUUCAUUUGUUAAUUUAGCUACAUUUGCUUUAUUUUUCGGCUAAAAAUAGUAUCUCUUAUCCUAUAUGUGUUGCUUUUAAAGUACGCAGCUUUUAGCUUUUCUUUCUGUUUUUAUCUCUGAUUUGAUGUCUGUUACUAACUGAACUGUAUAUUCUUG